ACCUGGCUGGUUCAAUCCAUGGAACAUGAGACUCUUGAUCUCAGGGUUGUGAGUUCGAGCCCCACGUUAGGUG
rnacentral:tRNA from 1 species